AUUGAACGCUGGCGGCAGGCCUAACACAUGCAAGUCGAACGAGUGGCGGACGGGUGAGUAAUGUCUGGGAAACUGCCUGAUGGAGGGGGAUAACUACUGGAAACGGUAGCUAAUACCGCAUACCAUCGGAUGUGCCCAGAUGGGAUUAGCUAGUAGGUGGGGUAAAGGCGCACGUAGGCGACGAUCCCUAGCUGGUCUGAGAGGAUGACCAGCCACACUGGACAUGAGACACGGUCCAUACUCCUACGGUAGGCAGCAGUGGUGAAUAUUGCACAGUGGGCGCAAGCCUGGUGCAGCCAUGCCGCGUGUAUGAAGAAGGCCUUCGGGUUGUAAAGUACGUUCAGCGGGGAGGCGUUACGCGCAGAAGAAGCACCGGCUAACUCCGUGCCAGCCGCCGCGGUAAUAC
rnacentral:rRNA from 1 species